AUAAACAUGGUUUAACUAUAUACUGAUGGUUAUCAGAGGUGAGGUAAGUGGGGGGAUGGGUGAAAUACGUGAAGGGGGUUAAGAGUACACUUAUCUU